rnacentral:tRNA from 1 species
GGUUCUGUGUUCUAGUGGUUAUGAACCUCGGUUCUGAUCCGAGUAGCCCCGGUUCGAUUCCGGGCAGGACCU